GCUGCCGCUGCUGCUGCUGGUGCUGCUGCUGCUGAUGCUGCUGACGCUGCUGCUGCUGCUGCUGCUGCUGCUGCUGCUGCUGCUGCUGCUGCUGCUGCUGCUGCUGCUGCUGCUGCUGCUGCUGAUGCUGCUGAUGCUGCUGCUGCUGCUGAUGCUGCUGCUGCUGCUGCUGACGCUGCUGCUGCUGAUGCUGCUGCUCCAGU
rnacentral:sRNA from 1 species